GAUGAAGAACGUAGCGAAAUGCGAUAAGUAAUGUGAAUUGCAGAAUUCAGUGAAUCAUCGAAUCUUUGAACGCACAUUGCGCCCGCCAGCAUUCUGGCGGGCAUGCCUGUUCGAGCGUCAUUUCAACCCUCGAGCCCCCCCGGGGGCCUCGGUGUUGGGGGACGGCACACCAGCCGCCCCCGAAAUGCAGUGGCGACCCCGCCGCAGCCUCCCCUGCGUAGUAGCACACACCUCGCACCGGAGCGCGGAGGCGGUCACGCCGUAAAACGCCCAACUUUCUUAGAGUUGACCUCGGAUCAGGUAGGAAUACCCGCUGAACUUAAGCAUAUCAAUAAGGGAGGA
rnacentral:misc_RNA from 1 species